rnacentral:rRNA from 1 species
GACGAACGCUGGCGGCGUGCCUAAUACAUGCAAGUCGAGCGAACCGAUGGGAGCUUGCUCCCUGACGUGAGCGGCGGACGGGUGAGUAACACGUGGGCAACCUGCCCGUAAGACUGGGAUAACUUCGGGAAACCGGAGCUAAUACCGGAUGAUCCCUUUUCCCACCUGGGAAAAGGUUAAAAGGUGGCAUUAGCUACUACUUACGGAUGGGCCCGCGGCGCAUUAGCUAGUUGGUGAGGUAACAGCUCACCAAGGCCACGAUGCGUAGCCGACCUGAGAGGGUGAUCGGCCACACUGGGACUGAGACACGGCCCAGACUCCUACGGGAGGCAGCAGUAGGGAAUCUUCCGCAAUGGACGCAAGUCUGACGGAGCAACGCCGCGUGAGUGAUGAAGGUCUUCGGAUCGUAAAGUUCUGUUGUUAGUGAAGAACAAGUACCGUUCAAAUAGGUCGGUACCUUGACGGUAACUAACGAGAAAGCCACGGCUAACUAC